rnacentral:rRNA from 1 species
CCUACGGGAGGCAGCAGUGGGGAAUAUUGCACAAUGGGGGAAACCCUGAUGCAGCGACGCCGCGUGAGUGAAGAAGUAAUUCGUUAUGUAAAGCUCUAUUAGCAGGGAAGAAAAUGACGGUAUCUGAGUAAUAAGCCCCGGCUAACUCCGUGCCAGCAGCCGCGGUAAUACGUAGGGGGCAAGCGUUAUCCGGAUUUACUGGGUGUAAAGGGUGCGUAGACGGCAUUGCAAGUCUGGGGUGAAAGGCUGCGGCUCAACCACCGGACUGCAGUGGAAACUGUACGGCUGGAGUGCAGGAGAGGUAAGUGGAAUUCCUGGUGUAGCGGUGAAAUGCGUAGAUAUUAGGAGGAACACCAAUGGCGAAGGCGGCUUGCUGGACUGUAACUGACGUUGAGGCUCGAAAGCGUGGGGAGCAAACAGGAUUAGAUACCCUAGUAGUC